rnacentral:rRNA from 1 species
UCCGAUGGUGAACCUGCGGAGGGAUCAUUACCGAGUUUACAACUCCCAAACCCCUGUGAACAUACCACUUGUUGCCUCGGCGGAUCAGCCCGCUCCCGGUAAAACGGGACGGCCCGCCAGAGGACCCCUAAACUCUGUUUCUAUAUGUAACUUCUGAGUAAAACCAUAAAUAAAUCAAAACUUUCAACAACGGAUCUCUUGGUUCUGGCAUCGAUGAAGAACGCAGCAAAAUGCGAUAAGUAAUGUGAAUUGCAGAAUUCAGUGAAUCAUCGAAUCUUUGAACGCACAUUGCGCCCGCCAGUAUUCUGGCGGGCAUGCCUGUUCGAGCGUCAUUUCAACCCUCAAGCACAGCUUGGUGUUGGGACUCGCGUUAAUUCGCGUUCCCCAAAUUGAUUGGCGGUCACGUCGAGCUUCCAUAGCGUAGUAGUAAAACCCUCGUUACUGGUAAUCGUCGCGGCCACGCCGUUAAACCCCAACUUCUGAAUGUUGACCUCGGAUCAGGUAGGAAUACCCGCUGAACUUAAGCAUAUCAAUAAGCGGAGGA